CAGCAGCCGCGGUAAUACGUAGGGUGCAAGCGUUGUCCGGAAUUAUUGGGCGUAAAGAGCUCGUAGGCGGUUUGUCGCGUCUGCUGUGAAAACGCGAGGCUCAACCUCGCGCCUGCAGUGGGUACGGGCAGACUAGAGUGCGGUAGGGAAGAUUGGAAUUCCUGGUGUAGCGGUGGAAUGCGCAGAUAUCAGGAGGAACACCGAUGGCGAAGGCAGAUCUCUGGGCCGUAACUGACGCUGAGGAGCGAAAGCGUGGGGAGCGAACAGGAUUAGAUACCCCCGUAGUCCCUGUCUCUUAUAC
rnacentral:rRNA from 1 species